ensembl:lncRNA
CUUAAUUAAACAUUUAAAUUAUACAACCCCAGACUUAAGCUACUCUAGACUUGGAUUGGACAAGACUUUAUGAGGAACUUCAAAAUAACACUCAAAUAGUUAACUAUUAGAAAGCUCGGGUAAUAGGUCACAACAGCUAGCAAAAUUAAUAGAAGACAGGAAAAAAAUGUGCGUUGCUUCCCAAGAAUCUGAUUUAACCUUUUCCCAUUGGUAUAUUUAAAGCUUCUUCUAUUUCAAGGCAAAUAUCAGGCUGCAUUGUGAAAUUCAUCCUAUUGUAAUUCUGAUCAUUGUUUUGCUUUGCAUUUUUCUUGCUGGUUCUUCAGGCAUUGGCAAUUUGCCCCUCGCCCAGAAAAAGUUAAAAGGACAGUGGAGAUAAUGAAGUAUUGUAAUGUGACGAUUUCUUAAUAACACAAGGAGGUGGUCCUUGGAAAUAUUCAAAUGAAGAGUAGGAGCCUUCCAUCUCCCCGGAGAAGAUAAGGGUCGGGGAGCAUUGUUUUGCAUUGUAAUCAAGCUGCAGCCCCCGCAGACCUCCUGGCUUCCUGGGAGAGGUCUCACUAUAGCCAACUGGACUCCAAAUGGCCAAAGCUACAGGUUAGGGGCGCGGGGGCGGGGGGUGUCCCCCACGCCUUUGGAGAAUCCCCUGGCAUCAGCAUCCCUCUGGCGGGGUGCUUGUGUUUGCACAGAUUAUUCUGAUUUUUAUCUUUUCUGCCUUUGUGGCCAGGUAUUCCUGGUUGGGAGAUUGUUUUCAGUUCUGUGUCUCCAACACACUUCACAGCCACGGAGAAAGGACACGUUUCCUUCAGUGGAGAUGUGUUCCUUAAAUAUCCAUCUGGAGGAAAAAGAAAAGAAAACACUUCUUUCCUCAAGUGUCACCAUCAGGCAGAAAAGGGAAAAGUCAUCAAUGCACUGAGUCUUUUUCCCCUGUGAAAGUGCCUCCCUGCGCCAGGGCCGGGCGUGGGGGCUGGAAGACUGUACCAACCUUAAGUCUCACUGUGGCAUGCCAAGUGGUUCCUAUGCCACCUGUCAUCUGAGCCCAAACCUCUGUGUCUUAUCAGUGCUUCACAAAUGCAACAGGCCUUUGUGGUAGAAAGGUAGAAAAGUUUCCUGUUCUGGUCACUUCUUGGGGUCUUCCUUGAAUUGUGAAGGUGGCCAGGUUCACAUAAAAGGUUAAUCAAGUGUUUGCAUUUCUCCUGUGAAUGUGUCUUGUGUUAGUUUCAUUUCCAGGCCCAGCCGGAGACCCAAAGAUGGUAAAGGAGCAUUUACCUUCCAUGUCCCUUUGGGUCACCCCUGCUCCCCCCAAACAGAGAUGUAUGUGCAAAGGCUUCUCCAGCAGUGGUGGGAAAGCGGGGAGAUGCUGAGGGGACUUGGAAAGAAAGAGGAAAGGAAGGGGCAAUGCAAGAAGGGUCCAAGUGAGAGACCCCACACCAGCCCCUCCCCCAGGAACUCAAAAGGUGCAUUUCCUCUGGGAAGCAAUGGAGAUCAGGCCCGGAGAAUUUCCACCGGCCCCCUUACAAUUUAAAAAUGGUCAAGCCCUGACAGGGAUAAGUCAAUGCUUCCGCCCUCAGAGGGACUUGCAUUUCAAUGCCCUUGAGUUCCUAGAGGCGGGGAGAGCCUUCCAAGUGUGCGAACCCACAAUGGCCCCUCCCCACUGGAGAGGCCUUUAUUCCUGGAGGCCAUUGUGAGCAGACCCGACGAAUUUCUCAGACUUCCCUUAAAACUUAAAAGUGCCCCAAGACCCAAGCUUGGAGAAGCAAAUGUCCCGCGGGCAAAGGGACUUGCAUCUCAAUGCUGUGUCCUUUGAAAGGAAAACAGGAUUUUGGCCAGCUUUCCUGAGUUCUUCAAAACAAAGAUCUGGAAAACCAAGCUGGAUCUCAGGAUUAGACCCUACAGAGCGUCUGCAACCUGGAAGUCUUUUUUUUUCCCCCUCUUUUAAGAAAUAAUAAAUAAACCCUGACCGCUGCCGGACA